AUUGAACGCUGGCGGCAUGCCUUACACAUGCAAGUCGAACGGCAGCGCGGGAGCAAUCCUGGCGGCGAGUGGCGAACGGGCGAGUAAUGCAUCGGAACGUGCCCGGCAGGGGGGUAUAACUGCUCGAAAGAGCAGCUAAAACCGCAUACGACCGGAGGGUGAAAGGGGGGGCUCGCAAGACCUCUCGCUAACGUGGCGGCCGGUGUUGGGUUAGCUAGGUGGUGGGGUAAAGGACCACCAAGGCGACGAUCCGUAGCUGGGCUGAGAGGACGACCAGCCACACUGGGACUGAGACACGGCCCAGACUCAUACGGGAGGCAGCAGUGGGGAAUUUUGGACAAUGGACGCAAGUCUGAUCCAGCCAUGCCGAGUGCGGGAAGAAGGCCUUCGGGUUGUAAACCGCUUUUGUCAGGGAAGAAAUCUUCUGGGUUAAUACCUCGGGAGGAUGACGGUACCUGAAGAAUAAGCACCGGCUAACUACGUGCCAGCCGCCGCGGUAAUAC
rnacentral:rRNA from 1 species